AGGGUUAACAAGGUGGAUAGAAGUGAUCUAAAGGAAAAUGUUGAAACUUCAGAGCAGGGUAAAGGAAAAUCCAGUUUCUUGGUUAAGACUAAAGCAGGCA